rnacentral:lncRNA from 1 species
UUGAAAUCCGGAAUAAACCCUGCGGGACCCACCUCAAGGGAAAUUCUACCAAAAUUUUGGCAUAACUUCCCUUGAAAAUGAGUAACCCUACCUGGAAGAAAAAUCACCAAAACCCAAACACUUCUAAAACAAUUCAAUCCACAUCUUCUGGAGCCAUCCGCUCCCCCAAAUAAACAUCCACCACCUCAACCAACAUAAUAAAUCGAAAUAAUCUCAUGAAUUUAAUCUCUCAUAUAACAUGCCAAAUAAACCUUUUUCAACACUCAUAGGUGGAGUCACAAGCUCUCAACUCACAACAUUAACAACAACAACAACACUUAAAACAUCCCAAGGUUAUCAGAGCAACUACUAGGAAAGAGGAAAAUACAUAGGUAGGUUAACUAGUAACCUAUGAGAGAAAACUGGAUGAGGUGGGAAAUAUGACUCGCCUCCUACCCUCGCCGAACAGAACUCUGCAGACUGGGCAUUUAAAACGAAAGGCCCAGGGGAAAGCAUUUAAAACGUUAGAGUGAGUGGACAAAAUAAAUAAUAAAAAUACGGACUUAAUGACAGAGCAUUGAAAUCAAUUUAACGCUUUUCCCAUAUUUUCCAUUGAGAAAAUAUUUAUUUUAUGCAUGCCAUUCUUGGAAAUCUUUCCGAAAAUAAUUAUAGACAAAACUAAUGAAUCAAUCCCAUUGGUUCCCAAUAAAUCAAUAAAAAUAGGGAAAAUGUUUCGCCAUAACAAUGAGCCUCCCAGGCUAUAAUAGCGUCCCACGCUAAGCGCUCUACUCACAUAUGACGAGGACCGCUUAAAAAGUUAUAAUAGCGUCUCACGCUAAGCGCUCAACUCUCAUAUGAUGAGGACCGCUAAAUAAUGGCUAGCUAACAAUAAAUAUAUAUAUAUAUACCGAUCGGUUGCCUCCCAGGCUAUAAUAGCGUCCCACGCUAAGCGCUCUACUCACAUAUGAUGAGAACCGCUAAUAAGACUAUAAUAGCGACUCCCAUAUGAUGAGGACCGCUAAUAAGGUUAGCUAGCAAUAAUAUAUAUAUUAACCCUUUUAUGGUGAAAUACAAUAUUAAAAUACAAAGAUCCACACUUCCCCAAAUAAAUUAUAAUAAACUCAUAGCGUACAGUACAGUUCCCAACUAUACAUGGAAAUAAUAUAAAACACUUGACACGUCCCACGUGUCAACUAAAAUUAGCAAGAGAGUUCCGGAAAAAAAUAAGUGGAACUCGAUAAUCCAACAAAUUAUUAUAUCUCCAAAUGCCUUUGAAAUUAAAUAACUUUAGCGCAUGCAUGAUAUUAAAAUCAAAGGUCCACUCACAGUGCUCGGCUAUGCUUGCCGACGGCCCUAGGCUUCCUCCAAAUGAUCCUCCUCACGUCCUGAACAAUAAAUAAUCAUUAAGCCUCCAAACCGGGACAAAACUUUAAUAAAAUUCCCGAAAUAAAAAGGAAGCCUAUAAUUUCAUUUCUCUUGCCCAACUUCUCCACAUUUUACCUAAUAAGGUUCACAUUAUUCCGCACUUACCGAAAACCAUAAUUUAACCUUUUUAGACUUUAAAACCUGCUAAACCAACUGCCGGAUUUCCAUUCGAAUAACCGCCCAAAUCCUUAAUCAUAGCUAAAUCCUAAACCUUAUCAAAUCUCCUCCAAAAAUUCCAAACUAUACUUCAUUAAACUCCUCUCAUUAAAACAAACCCAAAAAGCAUGAAAAACUGCCCCUAAGGGGCGGCGGCGGCCGGCAGCCGUUUUCCGGCGACCUCCAAUGCUUCUCAAAUUUUCACAGAAUAUUCCUCUCAUCAUGCUCAACAACAUUCAUAACUAGCACUUACUCCAUUUCUAAGGCUAACUAGGGCCAAUGAAUCAAAACUUCCAUAAAUCCCUAAAAACUUCAAUUAUACAUUUCUCCAUAACAACAACGAAAUAGACUAAUUCCUUUUGAGGGAAUACUCACCUUGAUGACGGCUACAAGAUGAGCCAAAGAUUCCGACCUAUGGUGGCCGGAGGUGGGAUUUCCGGCAAAAAGCUUCCCGGCGUCUCCGGCGAGUUUUCUCCUCUUCCGGCGGGCUAACGGCUCGGGGGCUAGGCCGGGGAGAGAGAGGAGGUGAUGGGGGUCAAAACUGGGGUGGGCUGGCAGCUGGUGGCUGGCCGGACGGUGGCAGACCACGCUGGAAAAGUCCAGCAGAAAAGAGGGCUAGGGAACUCACGGGAGAAAGGGAGAGAAAGGGAAGAGGAGAAGAGAGAAAA